AAGAGAAGCUUGCUUCUCUUGAGAGCGGCGGACGGGUGAGUAAAGCCUAGGAAUCUGCCUGGUAGUGGGGGAUAACGUUCGGAAACGGACGCUAAUACCGCAUACGUCCUACGGGAGAAAGCAGGGGACCUUCGGGCCUUGCGCUAUCAGAUGAGCCUAGGUCGGAUUAGCUAGUUGGUGAGGUAAUGGCUCACCAAGGCGACGAUCCGUAACUGGUCUGAGAGGAUGAUCAGUCACACUGGAACUGAGACACGGUCCAGACUCCUACUGGAGGCAGCAGU
rnacentral:rRNA from 1 species